GAGAUAUAGCUCAGUUGGUAGAGCGUUGCCUUAGCAAGGCAAAGGCCGGCGGUUCGACUCCGCUUAUCCCC
rnacentral:ncRNA from 12 species